CUACUUUUCUAUCUGCACAUGUGGCAACCAAGAAGCAAGCCAAACACCAAGAAGAGAACCACCACUCCAGGAAAACUCCCUGCAAAUCCUGCACCGACUGCGCUGAGAGAAGUUGAACGAAGACAACAAAACAGAGGAGGUUGCAGCUCAUGGGAUGGCAAUGUAAGCUGUGCACAUUUGUGGCUUCAGUGAAAGGGUCACUUCUCAAGCACUAUCGGUUGAAGCACGGUACCUUUGGUCGUGGAAAAUGACAGGGCACCUGCAAAGAAUAUAAAGAAAGCACGGAAAGGAGAAGUGGUGUUUCUCCCACAUUAUCCCGCAGGAGACACGAAGGAACAACACGAGCUGGAUCGACACCAACUCAUCGCCGAAUCAAAGAAGAAAGACAGCACAGCCAUCAAGGACUUGAUGUGCAGAACUUUUGCACAUAGAAGACAAGAUGUCUACAGAUGAGCAUAGAAGACAUCAAGGAUAGAUGGCCUGUCUUGUUUGAUGUCUCGCAAGUGAGUCAGCGCAGAGUUUCAGAGGAUCACCACGCUGAAUCUUGAGCCAAAGUUCAUGUCAAUGUUGGACUUCUAUUCCCCAACACUGUUGUCCAUGUUCCAAGGCUGUCGGAGAGCGACAUCGGGCAAAAAUGAGUAUUCUACUUCAGAGUGGAAUCCCCAUUCAGCGAAAACGAGAGGUUGUCAUCCGAUGUCUCAUCGACCAUCUGGGAGAAGAUGCGAGUGCCUAGAUCAAGGACUUUGAGGAUGUUGCUGAUGUACCUGUCCGUGUACAAGAGGAGUUGGCCGAGGAGGUGAUGAAAAUACACCUGCUGCAGAACCAAGAUGGGUCAGUCGAUCAACCUACUGAUGUAGGGAUCGUGAUUGAGGGCAUCCCUGUCCUCAGAAGUCUUGGGGAUCUAAGCAGAGCCUGCUGCUAUCUGUUGGGACUAACUUAUGCCUUGGAUCUGAGAUACCCGAAGAAUUUAAAAUAUAGUUUCGAGGUAUUCCAGAAACUGCUGCUGGAGCUGGAUCCUGGCAACCUUUCACCGAAAGUGCAGAGACUGAAAAAUUGCCUGCACAUGUAGUUGCCGACUACUGUUCAGCAAGAUGGUACAAGUUGAGUUCUAUUGAUUGAUUUGCAUUUUGGACUGUUAUUGUUGUGAAGUGUCACUGCUCUCGAUGCAUUUAAGUCAUAUGCAGAGUUAAGUUCAGCCCGUUGCUCCCAUAGCUCAAUGGAAAUGUUCACUGGAAGUUACGCUAGAUAAAAUGCCUAACAGUUUUAUUUGUUAAAUAAUCCAAGUUGAGAUUUCCAAUGCUAGGAUUUCUCUGCUGCAAUUGGUCUUGUAUUUUACCCGUGUUUUUUAAAGGACCGUUUAAAUAAACCAGGUUGAGACUUAAUGUCAUGUCAAAUUUGAACAAUA